UACGGAGGGGGCAAGCGUUGUUCGGAAUUAUUGGGCGUAAAGAGUAUGUAGGCUGUCAAGUAAGUCAGGCGUGUAAGCCCUCGGCUCAACCGAGGAAUUGCGUUUGAAACUGUUUGACUUGAGUACGGAAGAGGAAAGCGGAAUUCCCAGUGUAGCGGUGAAAUGCAUUGAUAUUGGGAAGAACAUCGGUGGCGAAGGCGGCUUUCUGGUUCGAUACUGACGCUGAGAUACGAAAGCCAGGGGAGCAAACGGG
rnacentral:rRNA from 1 species